UAGGGAAUAUUGCGCAAUGGACGAAAGUCUGACGCAGCAACUCCGCGUGAGGGAUGACGGUUUUCGGAUUGUAAACCUCUUUUAUCUGGGAAGAAAAAAUCAAAAUUGACGGUACCAGAUGAAUAAGCCACGGCUAAAUACGUGCCAGCAGCCGCGGUAAUACGUAUGUGGCGAGCGUUACUCGGAAUCACUGGGCGUAAAGGGUACGUAGGCGGUUUUUUAAGUCUGAAGUGAAAUGUCGGGGCUCAACCCCGGAUCUGCUUUGGAUACUGGAAGACUUGAAUGUUGGAGAGGAAGAUGGAAUUCCUGGUGUAGCGGUGGAAUGCGUAGAUAUCAGGAAGAACACCGGUGGCGAAGGCGGUCUUCUGGCCAAACAUUGACGCUGAGGUACGAAAGCGUG
rnacentral:rRNA from 1 species